rnacentral:rRNA from 1 species
CACGUAGGGCGCAAGCGUUGUCCGGAAUUAUUGGGCGUAAAGAGCUCGUAGGUGGUUUGUUACGUCUGCUGUGAAAUCAUAGGGCUUAACCCUGGGCUUGCAGUGGAUACGGGCAGACUAGAGGUAGGUAGGGGAGAAUGGAAUUCCUGGUGUAGCGGUGAAAUGCGCAGAUAUCAGGAGGAACACCGGUGGCGAAGGCGGUUCUCUGGGCCUUACCUGACACUGAGGAGCGAAAGCGUGGGGAGCGAACAGG